rnacentral:lncRNA from 1 species
UGAGGAGAUAAGUGACAUAAACUGGCAUGUUCUGAAAGAAUCACUCUGGAUGCUGUGUGGAGAAAACACUGAAAAGGAAUUUGUUAUCUCGAUUAUGGAGGGCGACAAGUCCCACAGUCUGCCAUCUGCAGGAUGGAGAACCAGGGGGAGAAUAAUUGACUCCAUUCAAGUGUUCGCUCCUGUUUCAAUCAACUAUGGCUGAAGAGUGAGGAGACAUUUGGAAUAAAUAUGGCUUCUGGGGGCCCAUUCCUAUGGAUCAGCAGCUGGCUUCUGGAGGCCCAUUCCUGUGAAUCGUCGAUCUCAUAGAAGAUAAUAUUGUUAGAAGGCUUACCUCAUUGAUGCUGAACAUCCUAAAAAGCUUCUGCUGCUUUGAGUCACUGAAAAAGACCAAGAAACAUGAAUUUAAAAAAAAAUUUCAAAUGUUAUAAAAUAAAUAAUAUGAACUCAUUA